rnacentral:rRNA from 1 species
GCUUACGGCCAUACCACUCUGAGCACGCCCGAUCUCGUCCGAUCUCGGAAGCCAAGCAGGUGGGAUUGGUUAGUACUUGGACGGCAGACCGCUUGGGAAUACCAGGUGCUGUAAGUU